CGCUUAAAACCUAGCUUUACACCCAAAACUACCCACCCACAAUAAAACAUUUUUCAUCAUCUAGUAGAAGCGAUCAAAAAAUGUCUUAAAGCUAUAAAAAUAGUACCGCAAGGGAAAGGUGAAAUAAAAAUGAAACAACUAUUAAGCCCCAAAAAGCAGAGCUUCAACCUCGUACCUUUUGCAUCAUGGUUUAGCUAGUCUAACCAAGCAAAACGCACUUUUAGUUUGACAUCCCGAAACUGGACGAGCUACUUUGAAACAGCUUUUAGAGCAAACCCGUCUCUGUUGCAAAAGAGUGGGAAGAUUUCUAAGUAGAGGCGAUAAACCUACCGAGCCCAGAGAUAGCUGGUUAUUCAGGAAAAGGAUCUAAGUCCUACCUUAAGUUUCCCUAUAACCUCAAAUAUCUUACUAAACUUAAGAUCUAUUCAAAUAAGGUACAGCCUAUUUGAACCAGGAUACAACCUACCCCG
rnacentral:rRNA from 1 species